GCACCGAUUGUAUAGUGGUUAGUAUCAUGGGCUUCCAACCCAUGGAGCCGGGUUCGAUCCCCGGUCGGUGCA
rnacentral:tRNA from 1 species